rnacentral:rRNA from 1 species
UACGAUGGAGAGCAAGCGUUGUCCGGAAUGACUGGGCGUAAAGGGCGCGUAGGCGGCGCAGUUAGUCAGGCGUGAAAUUCCUGGGCUCAACCUGGGGACUGCGCUUGAUACGGCUGUGCUUGAGGAUGGAAGAGGCUCGCGGAGUUCCCAGUGUAGAGGUGAAAUUCGUAGAUAUUGGGAAGAACACCGGUGGCGAAGGCGGCGAGCUGGUCCAUUACUGACGCUGAGGCGCGACAGCGUGGGGAGCAAACAGG